AACUAACGCUGGCGGCGCGUCUUAAACAUGCAAGUCGAGCGGAAAGGCCCGCAAGGGUACUCGAGCGGCAAACGGGUGAGUAACACGUAGGUAAUCUUCCUUCCAGUGGGGGACAACCUGCCGAAAGGCAGGCUAAUACCGCAUAUUGCCAGACCUUCCACGGUGGGUCUGAUGAAAGCAGUAAUGCGCUGGAAGAUGAGCCUGCGGCUGAUUAGCUUGUUGGCGGGGUAACGGCCCACCAAGGCGACGAUCAGUAGCCGGCCUGAGAGGGUGGACGGCCACACUGGGACUGGGACACGGCCCAGACUCCUACGGGAGGCAGCAGUUAAGAAUCUUGUGCAAUGGGCGAAAGCCUGACACAGCGACGCCGCGUGCGCGAUGAAGGCCUUCGGGUUGUAAAGCGCAAUAGACAGGGACGAAGAAAGUGACGGUACCUGUUGAAAGCACCGGCUAACUACGUG
rnacentral:rRNA from 1 species